rnacentral:rRNA from 1 species
AUUGAACGCUGGCGGCAGGCCUAACACAUGCAAGUCGAGCGAGCGGCGGACGGGUGAGUAAUGUAUGGGGACUGCCCGAUAGAGUGGGAUAACUACUGGAAACGGUGGCUAAUACCGCAUCCUAUCGGAUAACCCAUAUGGGAUUAGCUAGUGGGGGGGGUACAGGCUCACCUAGGCGACGAUCUCUAGCUGGUCUGAGAUGAUGCUCAGCCACAUGGGGACUGAGACACGGCCCAGACGCCUACGGAGGCAGCAGUGGGGAGUAUGGAAAAAUGGGCGCAAGGCUGAUGCAGCCAAGCCGCGGGUAUGAAGAAGGCCUUAGGGGUGUAAAGUACUUUCAGCGGGGAGGCGUUACCCGCAGAAGAAGCACCGGCGAACUCCGGGCCAGCAGCCGCGGUAAUAC